UGGGGAAUAUUGCACAAUGGAGGGAACUCUGAUGCAGCGACGCCGCGUGAACGAAGAAGGCUUUCGAGUCGUAAAGUUCUUUUAUAUGGGAAGAUAAUGACGGUACCAUAAGAAAAAGCCCCGGUUAACUACGUGCCAGCAGCCGCGGUAACACGUAGGGGGCUAGCGUUGUCCGGAAUCACUGGGCGUAAAGGGUUCGCAGGCGGAAAUGCAAGUCAGGUGUAAAAGGCAGUAGCUUAACUACUGUAAGCAUUUGAAACUGCAUAUCUUGAGAAGAGUAGAGGUAAGUGGAAUUUUUAGUGUAGCGGUGAAAUGCGUAGAUAUUAAAAAGAAUACCGGUGGCGAAGGCGACUUACUGGGCUCAUUCUGACGCUGAGGAACGAAAGCGUGGGUAGCAAACAGG
rnacentral:rRNA from 1 species